rnacentral:hammerhead_ribozyme from 1 species
GUACUGCUUAAGAGUCCCAAACUAGGACGAAACGAUUUUCCAGUAC